AAACUCUCACUGAAGGUGCAGCUACCAAUACUCACAUUUUUACCAUAGGAUUCUGCAUUCCUGGACAUGAUUGAGUGGACCAGGGUUGGACACUUGACUCAAGAUGGAUUAAUGAAGAGAGAAGAUAAGAAUGUGAUAAAUGUGGAGAAUCAUGAUCUCAUCAUCUUGGGGGAAGUGGAUCAGGAAAAUAAAAGGAAGUAAAAGAGAAAGAAAAAGAAAGCUGAUCUGCAAACAAACAUGAAUGUACCAGAUGCCUGGCUCCUAUCUUGACGGGUCCAUCCUGCAUGGAAACAUGCAUGCUUUUCAUCUCUCCUGACUGUAAUUUAAGAGUAAACAACCACUACUACACCAUCUGCAGUAGCAGUCCAAUGUCAUUCUCAUGGAGCCAACAGAUAUUGUAAUAGCACUGCUUAAGAACCAGAAAACACCAAUGAUGCACUUCUCUCUUUGAGGCCUUCAAACAGGAUUGCCAACAGUUUAAGGAACCUCCCAUGCCUCUGCCUGUGUCAACUACAAUCAGUCUCUCUGAGCUCGUAUUUCUUCACCUGUGAUCUGGUUUUACUCUGUCCUGAGGAGGUGAUCUCAUCAGUGUCCAGCACACUCAGGGAAGUGAAGAGAAAGAGAUAGAGAAAGAGAGAAAAAAAAAACAGAGGAAGAUGGACAGACAUAAAGAAAAAUACCUCUUGGAUGCCACUUACACUCCUGGAUUCCUGGAAGAGAAGCAGUCAAAUAAAUACUACAAAGUAUGGGAUCAUUCCUUUAAAAAACACACUGACCUGAUCACCUAUAGACUAGCUCUAGCCUCAACAUGCUUCUGCCUCUGACUAAACAAUUUAAUAUCCCCUUUUCUUUGGGAAGAAUAAGGAGUAGAUGAGGAGAGAGCCAAGUAGAGCAAUAGAUGCUCAUGUAGAACUUUGUCCGUUUUCUCAGUUAUGUAGUUAUCCUUCUUAAAAUAAACACAGAAUCGACAAGUGUGCAGAAUCAACAAAUUACCCAACUGCAUGCUCCCCCAGAAGUAUCCUAGAGACUCGGCAACAUGACAAUUUGACUCAGUUCAUAAUCCCCACAACUUGUAGGCAUCAAUUGGAGAGUGUUUGACAGUGCAUUCUUGCAUGUGUGCUCUUAAGCACACAUGUACACAUUUGUAUAAGUAUUUUGUUGCAAUAGAGGAGAAUUUAAGUGGUUUGUUUGUUUCCAUGAAUACAUGUGAAGGUCUUAUAAAAUUUAAUAUCUUGUGGUCAUUUUAUUUACAAAAGGGCCUUGCCUAAUACAGGACCUAAGGGUUCAGAAGUUGUAAAAUGACCUGCUAGUGUCAUAGGAGGCCUGACAUCUCACUGAUCUCUUCAACAAAUAUCUCUCCAAUCUGUUGUAGGCAUUAAGCAUACAAGGGUGAGGAGAACAAGGCAGAGGUCACUUCUGAGAUUUUAGUGGUGGGAGUAUGAAAAAUAAACAACUAAUAAACAAGAUUAAAUCAUACGUUUUGUGAAAAUAAACCAAACAGUAGAUAAGAGAGUGACUGGUUAAGAAACUUUAUAUAAGCAAACGAUGGGAUAUCUCACCAAGGAGGUGAUGUUGGAGGCAACCUUGUAAAUAACUAGGAACAACUAUGCCGCUAGAACACCUUGGAGAACACUCCAGGCCCAGCCCUGGAGAGAGCGCUUGCUCAUUCAAAUAAGUCCUGUGAGUGGUUUGGACAAAAGAAAAAUAAA